AUGGGAGGAGGACAUGUUGUCCCUGUCAGCAGCAUGCUUUUCUGGAAGACCUGCCCAGCUCUGGCCUAAAGCAAAUGCUUUAACCAAAUGUAUUUCCUUCAGUCCCUAACUUAAAACUGUGCAGUUCUCAAGUGCCAGGUGGGGAAACCGAGGCUUAGGGAGGUGAAGUGACUAAUUGAGGACACACUUAUUUGGGAACGCCCCCAUGUAACUCAGCAGCCCAUUCUUGAGUGUGUGGCCCUGACUUGAGAUGGCUUGGCUUAAGGAGGAGUGAAAGCUAGGGGCAGGGCAGGGAGGCCUGGGUCAGCUCCCAGCCCAUUUGUAACCACACACUGGUCGAGACUUGUAGGAGGGUUUGGUGGGAGGAGAGAGCCAGACAGUGGCAACAGGGAGAGGGAGAAGGCUGAGAGUGUUGUUAGAAAGAAGUGGCAGUGACAUCACAGCCUUAAGAAUCCAAGGAAGGGGGCUGGGGCUGUAGCUCAGUGGCAGGGCGAUUGCCUAGCAUGUGUGAGGCACUGGGUUCGAUCCUUAGCACCACAUAAAAAUAAAUAAACGAAUAGAGAUAUUGUGUCCAACUACAACUAAAAAAAUAAAUAUUUUUUAAAAUAAAAUAAAUAAAUGAAUUAAUACUUUUUUUUUUUUUUUUUUUUUUAAAGAGCCAGGUGUGGUGGCACACGCCUUUGAUCCCAGCACUUGAGAGGCUGAGACAGGAAGAUCACGAGUUUGAAGCCAGCCAACAGCCUGGCCCAGGGCCACUGCAGAUGGUGCUAAGCCUAGUGGGCAGCCAGCCUUUGUGUGCUCCCAUGCUUUCCUUCUGACCACUCCUCCCACUGUCAGUUAUUUCCAGGAAGAGCCCAGCCAUGGUGGCCAAGUCUCAGCCCAGUUCCCCUGGAGUGACCCUGAGUGUUUUAGUCCUGAGAAACGCGACAGUCCUUUACCAACUCCCCUCCUGCCCCUAUCCCUCCAAGUACAAGUCCACAGUGACACCAUGUGCUGCUGCUCAGAUUUUCAAGUCAAGACCAAGUGUCAUCAGUUAACUUCAAAGGAAAAAUCUUUUGGAAAAGAAUUUCAAGCAAUGACUCAGAAAGUUUCCCUAAGAGGCAAUCCAGAGGCAUCUAAGUCUCAACAAGCUUUUAGGACCGAGGCAGGAGCAGAACAUUCAUGGAAAAAAAAAUCACAGGAAUGGGCAGAAGGAAGUUCUUUUCACAAAAGAAAGGUUCCAGGCAAAUGGCCAGCACCCCUGAAAACCAACACAGCAGGGAAAGACCAGAAAUAUAACAAAUUGGAAUGUGUGUUUCUGGGUACAGAGGCAUCAGAGGGAUGGGCCACGACAAAACACUGGUGGAUAGAGGGUAGGUAGCCAAGGUGUUCCGUGGGAACCAGGCCUGAGUGGUCAGGUGGCAGGUCCCAAUGGGUCAAAGCCUAUGGAUAUCAUGUGGGUGGGAACUUUUUCAGCAAAAACUCACACCUUUUUUGACUUCAGAAAAUUCAUACUAGAGGUGCUGGGGGUGUGGCUCAAGCGGUAGCGCGCUCGCCUGGCAUGCGUGAGGCCCAGGUUCAAUCCUCAGCACCACAUGCAAACAAAGAUGUUGUGUCCGCCGAGAACUAAAAAAUAAAUAUUAAAAUUCUC
rnacentral:lncRNA from 1 species